GGGGGUGUCACGGUUUCGACUGGGAAAUGAAGUAUUGAUUGCAUGCGGAGGUAUUCGGCUGGCCUCCUAAAAAGCCGAUAAAACAAUAAAUGCAAACGACAAAAUCGUUGCGCUAGACUUCGCAAACAACGAGUGUGAACUUGUUGAGUGUGCUGCCUAGUUUGUAGCUCAAACCUAACAGUUUGAGCAACACGAUAGCCUAAGGUUGGACCAGGGGCCUUAGAAUCUAUCGAUAUAUCACUUGGUGUGUGCCUUGUUUCCGACGCUUCCAGGAAACACUGCUCGAGAAUAAACGAAGCGGCUUUCAGUUAGUGUGGCAUCUUGCAUCGACUGCGAGCUCAACACUCAAGAUGCUAAGCAUGUAGAUAUCUUUAUGUAGUUUGCUUAGGACGAGAGUUCAAUUCUCUCCACCUCCAAUU
rnacentral:tmRNA from 1 species